rnacentral:rRNA from 1 species
UAACGACUCUCGGCAACGGAUAUCUCGGCUCUCGCAUCGAUGAAGAACGUAGCGAAAUGCGAUACGUGGUGUGAAUUGCAGGAUCCCGUGAACCAUCGAGUUUUUGAACGCAAGUUGCGCCCGAAGCCACUAGGCCAAGGGCACGUCUGCCUGGGCGUCACGC